UACGGGGGGAGCAAGCGUUGUUCGGAUUUACUGGGCGUAAAGGGCGCGUAGGCGGCCUGUGCAAGUCAGUUGUGAAAUCUCCGAGCUUAACUCGGAACGGUCAACUGAUACUGCUCGGCUAGAGUGCGGAAGGGGCAACUGGAAUUCUUGGUGUAGCGGUGAAGUGCGUAGAUAUCAAGAGGAACACCUGCGGCGAAGGCGGGUUGCUGGGCCGACACUGACGCUGAGGCGCGAAAGCUAGGGGAGCGAACGGG
rnacentral:rRNA from 1 species